rnacentral:rRNA from 1 species
GAUGAACGCUGGCGGCGUGCUUAACACAUGCAAGUCGAACGAAGCACUUUUGAUUCUUCGGAAAAGAAAGUGACUGAGUGGCGGACGGGUGAGUAACGCGUGGGUAACCUGCCUUAUACAGGGGGAUAACAGUUGGAAACGACUGCUAAUACCGCAUAAGCCGACAGGGCCGCAUGGCUUGGUUGGAAAAGAUUUAUCGGUAUAAGAUGGACCCGCGUCUGAUUAGCUAGUUGGUGAGGUAAUGGCUCACCAAGGCGACGAUCAGUAGCCGGCUUGGGAGAGUGAACGGCCACAUUGGGACUGAGACACGGCCCAAACUCCUACGGGAGGCAGCAGUGGGGAAUAUUGCACAAUGGGGGAAACCCUGAUGCAGCAACGCCGCGUGAAGGAAGAAGUAUUUCGGUAUGUAAACUUCUAUCAGCAGGAAAGAAAAUGACGGUACCUGACUAAGAAGCCCCGGCUAACUACGUGCCAGCCGCCGCAGUAA